rnacentral:rRNA from 1 species
UGCCAGGCCCUUUUACAUCCGGUCCGGGCGGGGCCAUGUGUCCAGGUCUGCUCUAGCCCAGUCAAGCCUUCCGCCGAAGCCCAUCCAUAAAGAUAGACUGACCAAGAUUCAGACAUAGUCAGGCGCAGGCGUCAGCAGAAGCAGAGCAACAGGCGAUGGCCGGCGGUAGCCUGGACCUCCCCGUGGUUGACCUCGCGUCCCCCGACCUCAAAUCCGCCGUGGACGCCGUCCGGAAGGCAUGCGUGGAGAGCGGGUUCUUCUACGUCACCAACCACGGGAUCCAGGACGGCCUGCUGGAGGCGUUGUUCGCCGAGAGCAAGAAGUUCUUCGAGCUGCCGCUGGAGGAGAAGAUGCUGCUGCAGAGGAACAGCGCUCACCGGGGCUACACCGCGCCCUACGCCGAGAAGCUCGACGCGUCGUCGGAAUUCCAGGGAGACCUCAAGGAGAGUUUCUACAUUGGGGCGGUCGGGGAUGUAGAUAUGCCGAAUGAUCCUAACCAAUGGCCUCCUAAAGAGCGAUUUCCAUCUUGGAAGGAUACAAUGAAGCUGUACCAUGCAGCUGCACUGGCUGCUGGCAAAAGGAUACUCUCUCUAAUUGCUCUGAGUCUGGACCUAGAAGCUGAAUUCUUUCAGAACAUCGGUGCAGUCGACUGCUCUUCAGAAGUUAUUCGGCUAUUGCACUACCCAGGUGAAGUAAACGAGUCUGAUAAUGGAAAUUAUGGUGCAUCAGCUCAUUCAGAUUAUGGAAUGAUAACUCUUCUAGCAACAGAUGGCACUCCUGGCUUGCAGAUAUGCAGGGAGAAGGAUAGGCAUCCCCAGCUCUGGGAAGAUGUUCGUCAUGUUGAUGGGACCCUUAUUGUUAACAUUGGCGAUUUGCUAGAAAGGUGGACGAAUUGUGUUUUCAGAUCUACACUUCAUCGGGUUGUUGCAGUUGGCAGAGAGCGAUAUUCUGCGGCUUACUUUCUGGACCCAAGACCCGAUCUAGUGGUGCAGUGCUUGGAAAGCUGUUGCUGCGACGCAUGUCCUCCAAGGUUUCCACCUAUCACGGCGGGUGACUAUCUGAAAGAACGAUUAAGCGCCACAUACAAAUAACUAGCGGGAUUUCAACGUGUAGUUGUCUGAAAUAAACAAACGGUGCAUAUCCUCCGUUUAGUUUGUUGGUCUUUGGGAG